rnacentral:tRNA from 1 species
UCCGCCUUAGUGUAAUGGCAGCACGGCAGCCUUUGGAGCUGUUAGGUCCAGGUUCGAAUUCUGGAGGCGGAGCGA